rnacentral:tRNA from 1 species
UGGGGGUUAGGUCAGUGGUUUAGACCGCCACUUUUACACAGUGGAUGUCAUUGGUUCGAUUCCAAUAUCCCCAA